rnacentral:rRNA from 1 species
CAGUCGCCACGGUAAUACGUAGGGUGCGAGCGUUAAUCGGAAUUACUGGGCGUAAAGCGUGCGCAGGCGGUUGUGUAAGACAGGUGUGAAAUCCCCGGUCUUAACCUGGGAACUGCGCUUGUGACUGCACAGCUAGAGUAUGGCAGAGGGGGGUGGAAUUCCACGUGUAGCAGUGAAAUGCGUAGAGAUGUGGAGGAACACCGAUGGCGAAGGCAGCCCCCUGGGCCAAUACUGACGCUCAUGCACGAAAGCGUGGGGAGCAAACAGGAUUAGAUACCCGUGUAGUCCCUGUCUCUUAUAC